UAGGAAGUGGUGUAGGGAAGCACUAAGAGUUUUGAUCUCUUCUUAAUGGGUUCAUAUCCCUUCUUCCUAA
rnacentral:tRNA from 1 species